rnacentral:rRNA from 1 species
GAUGAACGCUGGCGGCGUGCCUAAUACAUGCAAGUCGAGCGAACAGACGAGGAGCUUGCUCCUCUGACGUUAGCGGCGGACGGGUGAGUAACACGUGGAUAACCUACCUAUAAGACUGGGAUAACUUCGGGAAACCGGAGCUAAUACCGGAUAACAUGUUGAACCGCAUGGUUCAACAGUGAAAGACGGUCUUGCUGUCACUUAUAGCUGGAUCCGCGCCGCAUUAGCUAGUUGGUAAGGUAACGGCUUACCAAGGCAACGAUGCGUAGCCGACCUGAGAGGGUGAUCGGCCACACUGGAACUGAGACACGGUCCAGACUCCUACGGGAGGCAGCAGUAGGGAAUCUUCCGCAAUGGGCGAAAGCCUGACGGAGCAACGCCGCGUGAGUGAAGAAGGUCUUCGGAUCGUAAAACUCUGUUAUUAGGGAAGAACAAAUGUGUAAGUAACUAUGCACGUCUUGACGGUACCUAAUCAGAAAGCCACGGCUAACUACGUG